UACGGAGGGUGCAAGCGUUUAUCCGGAUUUACUGGGUUUAAAGGGUGCGUAGGUGGGUAGGAAAGUCAGUGGUGAAAUCUUCGGGCUUAACCCGGAAACUGCCAUUGAUACUAUUUAUCUUGAAUACUUUGGAGGUAAGCGGAAUAUGUCAUGUAGCGGUGAAAUGCUUAGAUAUGACAUAGAACACCAAUUGCGAAGGCAGCUUACUACACAGUUAUUGACACUGAGGCACGAAAGCGUGGGGAUCAAACAGG
rnacentral:rRNA from 1 species